AGUAAGAUCCCAGGCUGGCCUUUUGAAAUGAUCAACAUCAAUAACUAACGUACUGAUGUUAGUCAUUUCUAUUUAUUAACUUAUAAAAUAAAAACUUUGUAUCAGUUUCUUUAUACUGUUUGAGACCCAGAUCUAAAUGCUUACUCUUUUCUUUUUUUGGCUCCACAACCCUCCGGCAAUACCUAAAUACCUGAGAAGCAGUUGCUUUUUCCAUUCCAGCAAGAAAGAAAGCUAAUGAGGAAAAUAGUAUUUGCCUUGAAAUGUCCCUGUAUUGAUGCGCCUUCUACUUCGGAAGCUUCUUUGAAA
rnacentral:lncRNA from 1 species